rfam:Pseudomassariella vexata strain CBS 129021 BCR38scaffold_3, whole genome shotgun sequence.
GGUGAGAUGGCCGAGUUGGUUAUGGCGCCAGGUUAAGGUCCCAACCCUAACUACAAUAUUCCUGGUGGAGCAAUCCUCAUGGGUUCGAAUCCCAUUCUCAUCA